rnacentral:misc_RNA from 2 species
AUGAAUGUAAGUCGGUCUUCUGUGCUGGUGGCAACACAAGUGCACGUUGAUUGCAAAUCCACAUACCUGUGCACCUUUGACUUUGGGAUCCGCUUGUUGGCUCAUCCAACUUGCAACUGACAUUGGCUUUGUGCUUGUCUGGGUCUCAAAGUAAUUUUACACUCUGAAUGUAAUGGAAUGUAUCUGUGCAUAAUACACAAAAAUA